CUUAAACAGUGAAAGUGG
rnacentral:siRNA from 1 species